rnacentral:rRNA from 1 species
AUACGGAGGAUCCAAGCGUUAUCCGGAUUUAUUGGGUUUAAAGGGAGCGUAGGCGGAUUAUUAAGUCAGUUGUGAAAGUUUGCGGCUCAACCGUAAAAUUGCAGUUGAUACUGGUAGUCUUGAGUGCAGCAGAGGUAGGCGGAAUUCGUGGUGUAGCGGUGAAAUGCUUAGAUAUCACGAAGAACUCCGAUUGCGAAGGCAGCUUACUGGACUGUAACUGACGCUGAUGCUCGAAAGUGUGGGUAUCAAACAGGAUUAGAUACCCUGGUAGUCCACACAGUAAACGAUGAAUACUCGCUGUUUGCGAUAUACAGCAAGCGGCCAAGCGAAAGCAUUAAGUAUUCCACCUGGGGAGUACGCCGGCAACGGUGAAACUCAAAUGAAUUGACGGGG